GAUGAACGCUGGCGGCGUGCCUAAUACAUGCAAGUCGAGCGAACGGAUGAGAAGCUUGCUUCUCUGAUGUUAGCGGCGGACGGGUGAGUAACACGUGGAUAACCUACCUAUAAGACUGGGAUAACUUCGGGAAACCGGAGCUAAUACCGGAUAAUAUUUUGAACCGCAUGGUUCAAAAGUGAAAGACGGUCUUGCUGUCACUUAUAGAUGGAUCCGCGCUGCAUUAGCUAGUUGGUAAGGUAACGGCUUGCCAAGGCAACGAUGCAUAGCCGACCUGAGAGGGUGAUCGGCCACACUGGAACUGAGACACGGUCCAGACUCCUACGGGAGGCAGCAGUAGGGAAUCUUCCGCAAUGGGCGAAAGCCUGACGGAGCAACGCCGCGUGAGUGAUGAAGGUCUUCGGAUCGUAAAACUCUGUUAUUAGGGAAGAACAUAUGUGUAAGUAACUGUGCACAUCUUGACGGUACCUAAUCAGAAAGCCACGGCUAACUACGUGCCAGCCGCCGCGGUAAAAC
rnacentral:rRNA from 1 species